rnacentral:misc_RNA from 1 species
GAUGAAGAACGUAGCGAAAUGCGAUAAGUAAUGUGAAUUGCAGAAUUCAGUGAAUCAUCGAAUCUUUGAACGCACAUUGCGCCCGCCAGUAUUCUGGCGGGCAUGCCUGUUCGAGCGUCAUUUCAACCAUCAAGCCCCCGGCUUGUGUUGGGGACCUGCGGCUGCCGCAGGCCCUGAAAACCAGUGGCGGGCUCGCUGUCACACCGAGCGUAGUAGAUUUUCAUCUCGCUCAGGGCGUGCUGCGGGUUCCGGCCGUAAAAAGCCUUAUUUACCCAAGGUUGACCUCGGAUCAGGUAGGAAGACCCGCUGAACCUAAGCAUAUCAAUAAGCGGAGGA